UACGGAUGUUGUGUUGAGCGGAACCAACUUUUACUAGUUUAUGAGUACAUGGAGAACAAUAACCUUUCCCAUGUUUUGUUUGGUCCUGAAGACUGUCAACCAAAACUGGACUGGCCAACUAGGCAAAAGAUCUGUGUUGGCAUAGCUAAAGGCUUGGCUUACCUACAUGAAGAAUCACCUCUAAAGAUGAUUCAUAGAGACAUCAAAGGAACCAAUGUACUCCUUGACAAAGACCUAAAUCCAAAGAUCUCAGACUUUGGUCUGGCCAAACUUCAUGACGAGGAGAAAACACAUGUCACCACCAGGGUUG
rnacentral:misc_RNA from 1 species